rnacentral:rRNA from 1 species
UGGGGAAUCUUGCGCAAUGGGCGAAAGCCUGACGCAGCAACGCCGCGUGGGGGAUGAAUGCCUUCGGGUUGUAAACCCCUUUCAGCAGGGACGAAAUUGACGGUACCUGCAGAAGAAGCCCCGGCCAACUACGUGCCAGCAGCCGCGGUAAUACGUAGGGGGCAAGCGUUGUCCGGAUUCAUUGGGCGUAAAGGGCGCGUAGGCGGCUUAACAAGUCGGAUGUGAAAGCUCCAGGCUCAACCUGGAGAUGCCACCCGAUACUGUUAUGGCUAGAGUCCGGUAGGGGACCACGGAAUACCUGGUGUAGCGGUGAAAUGCGCAGAUAUCAGGUGGAACACCGGUGGCGAAGGCGGUGGUCUGGGCCGGAACUGACGCUGAUGCGCGAAAGCGUGGGUAGCGAACAG